rnacentral:lncRNA from 1 species
UUCCAAUAAAUAUCAAAUUUCACAACUUUUUUUCUUAUUUUACUUUCCAAUAAAUACCAAAUUUCACAACAUUUUUUUUCUUAUUUCACAAAGACACUCAAGUCACCUCUUAUAUCCUCUUUCUCUCUAUCCCAUGCCCACUCUCAUUCCUUCGUACUCCUCCAUAUUUUCUUAAGUUUCUUUGUGAAUAACAUGUAUCCAAGCUAGCUAGAAGUAUGAAUCCAUACACUUACACAAGUAUUUCACACAAAUAUUUCUUUUUCU